rnacentral:rRNA from 1 species
UACGGGGGGGGCAAGCGUUGUUCGGAAUUACUGGGCGUAAAGGGCUCGUAGGUGGCCAACUAAGUCAGACGUGAAAUCCCUCGGCUUAACCGGGGAACUGCGUCUGAUACUGGAUGGCUUGAGUUCGGGAGAGGGAUGCGGAAUUCCAGGUGUAGCGGUGAAAUGCGUAGAUAUCUGGAGGAACACCGGUGGCGAAGGCGGCAUCCUGGACCAACACUGACGCUGAGUGAGCGAAAGCCAGGGGAGCAAACGGG